rnacentral:rRNA from 1 species
UACGAAGGGGGCGAGCGUUGUUCGGAAUUACUGGGCGUAAAGCGCGUGUAGGCUGCAAUGUAAGUCGGAUGUGAAAGCCCUUGGCUCAACCAAGGAAGUGCAUCUGAUACUGCAUCGCUUGAGUGUCGGAGGGGAUGGCGGAAUUCCCGGUGUAGAGGUGAAAUUCGUAGAUAUCGGGAGGAACACCUGUGGCGAAGGCGGCCAUCUGGACGAUAACUGACGCUGAGGCGCGAAAGCGUGGGUAGCAAACAGG